GAUGAACGCUGGCGGCGUGCCUAAUACAUGCAAGUCGAGCGAACAGAUGAGGAGCUUGCUCCUCUGACGUUAGCGGCGGACGGGUGAGUAACACGUGGAUAACCUACCUAUAAGACUGGGAUAACUUCGGGAAACCGGAGCUAAUACCGGAUAAUAUAUUGAACCGCAUGGUUCAAUAGUGAAAGACGGUUUUGCUGUCCCUUAUAGAUGGAUCCGCGCCGCAUUAGCUAGUUGGUAAGGUAACGGCUUACCAAGGCAACAAUGCGUAGCCGACCUGAGAGGGUGAUCGGCCACACUGGAACUGAGACACGGUCCAGGCUCCUACGGGAGGCAGCAGUAGGGAAUCUUCCGCAAUGGGCGAAAGCCUGACGGAGCAACGCCGCGUGAGUGAUGAAGGUCUUCGGAUCGUAAAACUCUGUUAUUAGGGAAGAACAAAUGUGUAAGUAACUAUGCACGUCUUGACGGUACCUAAUCAGAAAGCCACGGCUAACUACGUG
rnacentral:rRNA from 1 species